CCUACGGGAGGCAGCAGUGAGGAAUAUUGGUCAAUGGGCGCAAGCCUGAACCAGCCAAGUCGCGUGAGGGAUGACGGUCCUAUGGAUUGUAAACCUCUUUUGUCGGGGAGCAAGGCCCGCCACGUGUGGCGGGAAGGAGAGUACCCGAAGAAAAAGCAUCGGCUAACUCCGUGCCAGCAGCCGCGGUAAUACGGAGGAAGCGAGCGUUAUCCGGAUUUAUUGGGUUUAAAGGGUGCGUAGGCGGAAGGUUAAGUGAGCGGUAAAAUGUCGGUGCUCAACACCGGCCUGCCGUUGAAACUGGUCUUCUUGAGUGAGCGAGAAGUAUGCGGAAUGCGUGGUGUAGCGGUGAAAUGCAUAGAUAUCACGCAGAACUCCGAUUGCGAAGGCAGCAUACCGGCGCUCAACUGACGCUGAGGCACGAAAGCGUGGGGAUCGAACAGGAUUAGAUACCCCGGUAGUC
rnacentral:rRNA from 1 species